rnacentral:rRNA from 1 species
UACGUGAGGCGCAAGCGUUGUCCGGAAUUAUUGGCGUAAGAGCUCGUAGGCGGCCUGUCGCGUCUGCUGGUGAAAUCCCGGGGCUUAACCCCGGGCGUGCAGUGGAUACGGGCUGGCUGGAGGCAGGCAGGGGAGAACGGGAAUUCCCGGUGGUAGCGGUGAAAUGCGCAGAUAUCGGGAGGAACACCGGUGGCGAAGGCGGUUCUCUGGGCCUGUUCUGACGCUGAGGAGCGAAAGCGUGGGGAGCGAACAG